AUCAUUAACGAGUUAGGGUCUCUCUGGCCCGACCUCCCAACCCUUUGUCUACUUGACCAUCGUUGCUUCGGCGAGCCCGUCCUCACGGACCGCCGGAGGGAUCUUUACUGGCCCUCUGGUCCGCGCUCGUCGGUAGCCCAACCUUUAAAAUCUUUAACUAAACGUGCCUUAAUCUAAGUACAAUUAUUAAAUAAAAGCAAAACUUUCAACAACGGAUCUCUUGGUUCUGGCAUCGAUGAAGAACGCAGCGAAAUGCGAUAAGUAAUGCGAAUUGCAGAAUUCCAGUGAGUCAUCGAAUCUUUGAACGCACAKUGCGCCCUUUGGUAUUCCGAAGGGCAUGCCUGUUCGAGCGUCAUUAUCACCCCUCAAGCCCUCGGCUUGGUGUUGGACGGUUUGGUGGAGGCCCCCUCGGGGGCUCCUGCCCCUCCCAAAGACAAUGACGGCGGCCUCGUUGGACCCCCGGUACACUGAGUUCUUCACGGGACACGUAUCGGACACAUGGGUUUACGGGACACGGUCUGCCUCCCCUCAGGGAGAAUCUUUCUAAGGUUGACC
rnacentral:rRNA from 1 species